CUACUGUAUAUAUACCUCGUAUGCGCAUGCACACCGAGGCAUAAUAAUGCACUUGAUAAACAACAUAAAAAUCACAGGUGAGAAGAUUUAUCAUAGCCUUUAAAGCAUGGCGGAAUGAAACAUGGGGUGAAGAUGGUAAUGGCCGACCAAAAUCGUAUUUUCUGUCUCUGCUUGUGCUCAUUUCACACGGUCGGUCACAAUUGGGUCCUCCAGGGCGAGUGAUAAACCAUGCCGCAUGGAUCACAGAUGACCUCAAGAAACUCGUCACAGUGAGGAGUAAUUCAUGAAGAGUUUGACCUUCACGUCCCUGGGGAGAACCCUGUAAUUAUGGCCAAGUACGAACAAUAUCUUCCGAAAAAGCCUCGCAUCAUUGACCCGGCCAACCCCUUUAGGAACCUUUAUGUACAAGGUCUCGGUCAAAUUGAGCCACAGAAAGAUGAUUCUAUACCGUAUAGCGGGUAAUUUUCAGGGGACAAAAUAUUCGUGGUUCAGCAAUAUUGAGACAUUUCAUGGAUAAUAUUUUCGUGGUUGCUGCUUGGAUUGUAGGUAAAGGUAGGCAAGGUCGCUUCAUUCGUGGGUAAAAUAUUCGUGGUUAGACCUCCAACCACGAAAACCACGAAUAUUUUGCCCCACGAAAAUUACCAGCUAUACGGUAGCAAGAAGAGGUGGGAGAUAUGUAUUUGCAAGGGAGAUUAACAAUUUGAACCUACAAAAAUAUCUUUUAUCUAUACUAGCAGUAUAGUGGCUCCAAACUUAAUCUAUAAGCAUAUAAUUAUACACGAAAACGACUACUGCAAAUUUAUAUACACUUUUUAAAACUGUUUGUUUAAUAGAAAGCUGGAAAUUAUGAGAGUUAUGAUUAUGUAUACAACACUAUCCACCUGCAGACCGAGCUCACUAUAUACAGUGCAUCUGCAUGUAAAUAAUUAUGCAGUCUAUAGAGGCUGAGUAGAUUAUACCACAAAUUAAUUUUGUGAGCAUAGUUGUACCAAGCUGUAUAAGGAUUGGAACAUGGUGCUGACACAGUGGAACUCCUCAUUAACGGACACUUUUGGGGAACAAUGUUUUGGCCUUUACACAUGCAGAGGUGGCCUUUGUUGAGACUCAGGUUGUUUUGUACACAAACUGUUCAUUUGGGACCUGGGUGCCUGGCCGUUAUAUAGCAGCUGGCCUUUAGUCGGAGGUGGUUGUUAACACCGGUUCCACUGUAUACCCGUGUGCAUGUAUAUAAGUGAACGAACUUAAAGCUAUACAACAUACCCAAAAAUAUUUUUAUGGCAACAUGCAUAUAAGGUGCAUGGUGCAUGCAUGCAUGGGUUUGUUAAGAGAACUGACAACACAAAAUUGUAGAAAAAACGGUUUUCAGCUAAGGUCGGGACUUUGAUGUUUAUAGUCAGAUUAAUGUCAGACUACUGGGCAAGAGGUGAGCACCAACCCAUAAACCGAUAACUUGGGCCCAAAUACAAGGCGAUGUAAAGCCACCACCUGUUCAGUAGUGUGCCUAUAGGCGUGUGAAACCAAGCUACCCGAAUAGGUAAACCUUAAGAGGCUAUAUGCCUCACCUAAAGAUCACAAAGAGGGGACACAAUAAAUGCUAUGCUCAAACCCGAGCUGGUGGUGUGAGAAAAGGAUACCCCGGCCCAAAUUAGACAAGGGAAACACUCACUCCAACCUCGCAAAUGAUCUGUGACCGGGCCCAAGUUAUCAAGGUAGCUCAGUGUACAAACCAAAGGAAAGGGGUGCAUGCCCAAUCCACAAGCUGGGGUGCAUGACCAAACAACCACGACCAAACACUUACCUAUACGAGAAGGGGUGCAUGCCCAACUCCUGAAGAUGGGAUGCACGGCACAACAACAAGUACCAACCACUUACCUAGGAGAAGGGGUGCAUGCCCAAAUCCUCAAGCUG